rfam:Cephalotus follicularis DNA, scaffold: scaffold7095, isolate: St1.
AAGCCAUGAUGAGGACAUUCUAAGAUGAGGUCUUUAAAACGUUCCAUGCAUCAAGAAAAAGAUUCAUUGGGUCGCUGGCGAAACUGGAGAAUGUCAUUCCUAAGUUU